UGACCUCGGAUCAGGUAGGGAUACCCGCUGAACUUAAGCAUAUCAAUAAGCGGAGGAAAAGAAACCAACAGGGAUUGCCUCAGUAACGGCGAGUGAAGCGGCAAGAGCUCAAAUUUGAAAGCUGGCUCCUUCGGGGUCCGCAUUGUAAUUGCAGAGGA
rnacentral:ncRNA from 1 species